rnacentral:rRNA from 1 species
ACUCCUACGGGAGGCAGCAGUGGGGAAUAUUGCACAAUGGGCGCAAGCCUGAUGCAGCCAUGCCGCGUGUAUGAAGAAGGCCUCGGUUGUAAAGUACUUCUAGCAGUGAGGAAGGUUCAUGCGUUAAUAGCGUAUGGAUUUGACGUUAGCUGCAGAAGAAGCACCGGCUAACUCCGUGCCAGCAGCCGCGGUAAUACGGAGGGUGCGAGCGUAAUCGGAAUUACUGGGCGUAAAGCGCAUGCAGGUGGUUUGUUACGGUCAGAUGUGAAAGCCCGGGGCUCAACCUCGGAAUAGCAUUUGAAACUGGCAGACUAGAGUACUGUAGAGGGGGUAGAAUUUCAGGUGUAGCGGUGAAAUGCGUAGAGAUCUGAA